UACAGGAGGGUGCGAGCGUUAAUCGGAAUUACUGGGCGUAAAGCGUGCGUAGGUGGUUCGUUAAGUCUGUCGUGAAAGCCCCGGGCUCAACCUGGGAAUGGCGAUGGAUACUGGCGGGCUAGAGUGCGGUAGAGGAGAGUGGAAUUCCCGGUGUAGCAGUGAAAUGCGUAGAGAUCGGGAGGAACAUCAGUUGCGAAGGCGGCUCUCUGGACCAGCACUGACACUGAGGCACGAAAGCGUGGGGAGCAAACAGG
rnacentral:rRNA from 1 species